UUCUCACUAUCAAUUGAAGGUAAUAUUGUAUUAUUCACUUUCACUUCUUAAAAUGUGAAAACUCAUCUUCCUCAUUUCUGCUUAGCUUUUGGUAUUACCAAAAGUGGUCCAAGUGAAAUAUGGAUUCACAUUCCUUUCAAUGUUGAAAAGGAUGAAGAGGUACUGUUCUAGAACGAUGGUUUUCAUUUUUUUGGGCUAUAAUAUUUUUUCUAAAAAAUGUGCACUUUACUACUUUCUCUAUGUUUGUGGAUAACAUCAUUUUUUAUUUUUUUUCUUAAAAAAAACUCAUUAUUUUUCUUAAAAGUAUGAACUUUUUGACAUUGUGUGUUUUUGGACUGUACAUUUUUUAUGCUUUCUGUAAAAAUCAGGUCUUUACUAUUUUGGUGACAAUUAUUUUGCUGAAAAACAGUUUUAGUUCAUUAUUCAUAUUUUUGUUAAAGAUGUUGCAUUUGUUCUUGAUCUUAAAUAUGUUCAGCCAAAUAAGCUGAAAAUCAGGUUUAGAUCAUCACUUUUAGUAAAGAUCUGUCAUUUACUAUCAUCACUUUUAGUAAAGAUCUGUCCUUUAC
rnacentral:lncRNA from 1 species